AUGGUAAGCACAUAAGGGAGGGCUGUUAAAAGGCAGAUUCUGAUCUUGGUGAGGCCUGAGAUUCUGCAUUUUUAACAAGCUCCCCAGUGAUGCUA
rnacentral:miRNA from 1 species